UGUUAUCGGGCCAGGUGGAGGCAGCUACCAGCACGUCGUGGCCCUGGCCCAGGCCCUCGUGGAACUGCGCCACCGCCGCUACGUCACUCCCAGGCAAGCCAGAGAGAUCACCGCUCUCUGGCUGAAGUUGAGUGAUUGGGACAAGGCAGCGGUCAAAUUCCCCCCCCCCGUCACCAGGGCCGGCUUGUCCAAGGCCGAUUCCGGACCACCCAGCGGCACGCUCACAUGCCAGGGGUGUGGAUAGUGUGAAGUGUGCGGUCCUGGGCAAGGGGGCGGGAGCGGCGCAGUCUCCCGAUGUGUCGAGGCUUGUGGAGGCUGUCCUGCUGGACCUCAGCAUCCUCCACUGCAGCGAGGGCAGGAAGAUUGCCGGGGUCUGGAUUCCUCGCUGGGGUGCCGUCAUGAGGGACUAUCUAACAAUUCGCGAGAAUGUUUAUAGUUGUGCAGCCCUCAUGACGAGCACCCGCAUCCAGCUAUAUGAUGUCAAUCGGCGGACCCUGGCGCAAUGGCACAACCAGAGGAGCAAGGCCAUGAUGAGGGACACCAUCGCCAUUGCAGUCCUGGGGCCCAGCACUCCCCAGACUGCAGCGGAGCCCCUGCCUGCCCCACCGAUGUGUGAUGUGUGUGUGUGUGUGUGUUUGGGAGGGAGGGAUUUGUAAAUAUUGUGUAUAUAGUGUAUUU